UCUAUAAGGACAGGCAGAAAUUCUCAGAACAGGUUUUCAAAGUGGCCUCCUCAGACCUGGUCAACAUGGGCAUCAGUGUGGUUAGCUACACUCUGAAGGACAUUCACGAUGACCAGGUAAAACUAGGCAAUUGAUCCUUCCCCACUUCCUUGCUCCCAUCUCUUAAGCCCUCCAAAGGACUAAUUUCUACAUCUCUCCCACAGGACUAUUUGCACUCUUUGGGGAAGGCUCGAACAGCUCAAGUCCAAAAAGAUGCACGGAUUGGAGAAGCAGAGGCCAAGAGAGAUGCUGGGAUCCGGGAAGCUAAAGCCAAGCAGGAAAAGGUGUCUGCUCAGUACCUGAGUGAGAUCGAGAUGGCC
rnacentral:lncRNA from 1 species